rnacentral:rRNA from 1 species
GUCGAACGAUGAUGCCCAGCUUGCUGGGCGGAUUAGUGGCGAACGGGUGAGUAAUACGUGAGUAACCUGCCCCUGACUCUGGGAUAAGCCUGGGAAACCGGGUCUAAUACUGGAUACGACCUCCUACCGCAUGGUGGGGGGUGGAAAGGGUUCACUGGUUUUGGAUGGGCUCACGGCCUAUCAGCUUGUUGGUGGGGUAAUGGCUCACCAAGGCGACGACGGGUAGCCGGCCUGAGAGGGUGACCGGCCACACUGGGACUGAGACACGGCCCAGACUCCUACGGGAGGCAGCAGUGGGGAAUAUUGCACAAUGGGCGAAAGCCUGAUGCAGCGACGCCGCGUGAGGGAUGACGGCCUUCGGGUUGUAAACCUCUUUCAGUAGGGAAGAAGCGCAAGUGACGGUACCUGCAGAAGAAGCGCCGGCUAACUACGUGCCAGCAGCCGCGGUAAUACGUAGGGCGCAAGCGUUGUCCGGAAUUAUUGGGCGUAAAGAGCUCGUAGGCGGUUUGUCGCGUCCGCUGUGAAAGCCCGGGGCUCAACCCCGGGUCGGCAGUGGGUACGGGCAGACUAGAGUGCAGUAGGGGAGACUGGAAUUCCUGGUGUAGCGGUGAAAUGCGCAGAUAUCAGGAGGAACACCGAUGGCGAAGGCAGGUCUCUGGGCUGUUACUGACGCUGAGGAGCGAAAGCAUGGGGAGCGAACAGGAUUAGAUACCCUGGUAGUCCAUGCCGUAAACGUUGGGCACUAGGUGUGGGGGACAUUCCACGUCCUCCGCGCCGUAGCUAACGCAUUAAGUGCCCCGCCUGGGGAGUACGGCCGCAAGGCUAAAACUCAAAGGAAUUGACGGGGGCCCGCACAAGCGGCGGAGCAUGCGGAUUAAUUCGAUGCAACGCGAAGAACCUUACCAAGGCUUGACAUCCACCGGACCGC